CAGCCGCCACGGUAAUACGGAGGGUGCAAGCGUUAAUCGGAAUUACUGGGCGUAAAGCGCACGCAGGCGGUCUGUCAAGUCAGAUGUGAAAUCCCCGGGCUUAACCUGGGAACUGCAUUUGAAACUGGCAGGCUAGAGUCUUGUAGAGGGGGGUAGAAUUCCAGGUGUAGCGGUGAAAUGCGUAGAGAUCUGGAGGAAUACCGGUGGCGAAGGCGGCCCCCUGGACAAAGACUGACGCUCAGGUGCGAAAGCGUGGGGAGCAAACAGGAUUAGAUACCCCGGUAGUCCCUGUCUCUUAUAA
rnacentral:rRNA from 1 species